GACGAAGCGUGCGAACGUUAUUCGGAUUCACUGGGCUUAAAGCGCGCGUAGGCGGGCUGUCAAGUCAGGGGUGAAAUCUUUCGGCUCAACCGGAAAAGUGCCCUUGAUACUGAUGGUCUAGAGUGAGGUAGGGGCAUGUGGAACUUCCGGUGGAGCGGUGAAAUGCGUAGAUAUCGGAAGGAACGCCGGUGGCGAAAGCGACGUACUGGACCUCGACUGACGCUGAGGCGCGAAAGCUAGGGGAGCAAACGGG
rnacentral:rRNA from 1 species